CGUUUUGACCGUAGGAGUAUAUAGAGUCUAUAAAAUAUCAUAAAAACAAGAAAUAUUACCAGAUAAUGUUAUUUUAUAUUAGUUCCGUACACAAAAAAUAAAUAUCCAACUGAUGAUUAUGAGUUUGACGGCUUUUCUUCAUUUCAUUCUGUCAAAACAUAACGAUUGUAUACAUGAAGGGCACCUGCAAGGCUUCAGGGAUUGUAUCGAGUUGUUCCCCUUCGCAUAAUUGUUACCUGUGUCAGUCAACUUUCGUUUUAUUGGAAAGUGUCCACAAGGCGUUCAUCAGGACCGCUCAUCAGAUGCCAGCUCUCAGAAGCUGCGGGAACUGUUCGAGUACGUGUGCGACGAGUGGCUUGAUAACUCACUUGACGGGUGAUCUGUCUGCAUGAAAAAGUCCGGACAAACAGCGUUAACGAAGAAUUGCACCGACGCAUGAAUUCGAGGGCAGGUCGAGAAAAACUCCGGCUUUAACGUUUCGCUUUGGUUCUACUGAAGGGACGCGGCGAAGCUCUUUCCACGCGGCGAAGCUCUUUCCACUCCAGGCAAAGCUGGUAGUGUUAAACGAAAAAGGCGUGAGGUAUACUCAGACAUGGACACACGCAAACAAGAGUUGUUGUAGCAGUACGACACGUGCAUGAUAUCUUUUGCGAGGAUUUCCAUUCGGAGAUAGGGGAGAUUUAUGGCUAAGACGGUCUAAACAGCUAAUUGAUCAGACAUACAUUUUUUUAUUUAUCUCCAUGUGUAUUUUUUCUGAAUUUACGUAUUAAAAAGAACAAUUUUAGUAUUGUAAACGCAGUUAAUAACUUUAAAAGGUGAGAAAUUAGGUGCUGAAAAGUGUUCAUCUAUUAGGGGUUGAAAAGUUGAUUUAUGUGGGGGGGGUCUUAGUCUAGCCCUUCAAGGGGUUAAAUAGUGUGACAGCCAUUAUUACUAUUAUUAUUAUUAGGAUGAUUAUUAUUAUUUUUUUGUUUUUUUGUUGUUUGUGUUCUUGUUUUUGUUGUUGUCUUUGUUGGUGUUGCUGCUGUUAUCAGACCGGAAGGGCGUCUACUUGUAAGAAGUGUUGAGUGCUACCCUUCAUUGUCUCAACAGUCGACGUUAUAUUCUAUACACGUUCACGGUCUGAUUACUGGAAUCUAUACACCCCCAUUGAAAUGUCGUAAAAUAUAUGAAAAUUU